AAAAAUAUUGAGCAUGUACCAACCAAUAAGCUAAGAAGGCCACAUAAAUUGAUAUUCAGUCUGAACAAACUGGAUAUUAAAAGGAAAGCAAGUCAAACCAUAUAAGGUUAUGCAAAGUAAUAAAAA